CAUCUUUAUUCUUGGAAAUCAGCUGAUCAGUUGACCAUGACGUGACCGAGAACUCAAAAGGUUGCUACGCGCAGGAAAAAUAUGAAAAAACGAAAAAACUGAUUAGAAAAAGAACGUGCGUGGACAAUAAAAAGGAAAAAGUUGAAAUAUAAUGGAGUUCUGUUGUCAUAUUGAAGAAGAGAAACUAUUAUGCAAUAUUUCAAGAGCACGUGGAAGAAAUUGCACUCUAGGGUUUCGAUUAAUAUGUGUGUUAAGUUGCAACGUCAUAAGUAGUCGAGUCAGAGAUCAAGCGGGAUGAUAGGGAAAGUGGUCUUCUUUUGGCUUAUUUCAAUGAUGCAGUUUCACGUUUUGCAUUGGAACAGAGAAAGUAAAAGGCAUUCAUCCAUGCAAAGUCGAUGCCAAAGCUGGUGGUGAUUAAUUCACGUGAUUGAGCAGGUGGCGGAAGAGAGAUUCGUAGUGAUACCGAGGAAACGUUUGGCAAACGCCAGCGAUUUAAUUCAUCACACCAAGUGGCCGCGGACCUGAUGGCCUCCAGGUCACGAAAUGGACAGCCAGGUCGAAGAUGCGAACCUGUAGGGAACAUGACGACCAUUACCAGCGGCAAGGGCGCUAAUAACAUUGCCAAGCGCUGAGAGACUGAGAUUAAUACUCGCAGCUUCCUUGAGUCGAUCACCUGUUGCACCUGUUCGCGUUUG